AGCUGCAGGGUUUUGAAGGGCAGAGAGUAAAAAAAAAAAAAGAUAAUAGUUCUACAUAACAGUUGCCAACUUGUUUCUAAGAAACAAUUUUACAGCAUUGUUCCAUCGAUCAGGACAGUGUGUCAACGAGUGACGAAUUGAGGCGUUGAAGUCACAGUAACCUAUGCUUGAAGAACUCCCCAGUAGAAUUUGAUAAACCCUUGGUGGCUG
rnacentral:lncRNA from 1 species